UACGGAGGGGGCUAGCGUUGUUCGGAAUUACUGGGCGUAAAGCGCACGUAGGCGGCUUUGCAAGUCCCAUGUGAAAUCCCACGGCUCAACCGUGGAAGUGCAUGGGAAACUGCAGAGCUUGAGUACUUAAGAGGAUCGCGGAAUUCCCGGUGUAGAGGUGAAAUUCGUAGAUAUCGGGAGGAACACCAGUGGCGAAGGCGGCGAUCUGGGAAGAUACUGACGCUGAGGUGCGAAAGCGUGGGGAGCAAACAGG
rnacentral:rRNA from 1 species